rnacentral:tRNA from 1 species
GGGGUUGUGGCUCAGUGGUAGAGCGCUCACCCAGCAUGUGCAAUGUCCUGGCUUCAAUUCUCAGCACCACA